rnacentral:lncRNA from 1 species
UCCCAUAGAUAUUCCAGGGCAAAUUCUCCUUCCAGCCCCAAACGGGAUCAACUCAAAAUCAUUGCCUUUAAAGCCAAUAUCACUAUUCAAAAACCUCUCUGGUGAGAAUUCCUCAGGAUUCUCCCAAGAUCCCGGGUCUCUUCCAAUGGCCAACGCAUUCACAUAAACUAUGGUUUUCUUCUUGAUCUUGUAGCCAUGUAUAAUUGUAUCUUCGGUCGUUUCUCGAGGUAUAAGAAGUGGAGCUGCGGGGUAUAAUCUCAAGACCUCUUUUACCACUGCCUUCAUAUAGGGUUCUUUAUUAGUGAUGUCAUCGCCCAAACCAAUGUAGCCGCACUAUUAUCAGUUCCAGCUACCAAGAUAUCCUAUAUGAGGGACAAAGAAAACAAUUAGAUACCCAAAAUGAUUGAUCUUCUAAGACGCUAGUUUAAUACAAAACAUGUAAUGGCCUACUACAAAAAGUAUGAUCUUGGGUUUUUAAGAUUUCUUUUGCUAGACUCGCUGAAGAAACAACGAUGGCUGGGAUGAAACCUAAGUUGAGGGAUACAAUCGGACCAUAGGAUUUGGAGAGCUUCCAUAGGGAAGUGUGGAGGCUUGAGUUAUCGAUUUGGUGCAUAUUUCCGAUGAAGGGUAGUCCACGAGGGCCAGGUGGACGACUAGUUUUUGAUUUGGUUUUGACGAUUUUGGGAAGAAGGUAGAUGAAAGACAGGAAGAGAAGAGAAACAAGUAGAAACUGAAUAAGAGAGUCCAUUGUUGAUAUAUUAUUCUUGAGUAUUACCUUUUGUUAUAUAUAGACCACCUGGAAUUAAUUAAUUGAAACUAGACGUGCAUUUGU